GGAUCCGCGGGGAGACCUUGGGCAUCAUCGGACUUGGUGCACACAGGAAAACAUUGUACACAUUCACCCCAUGAACCCACCAGCACGUUGACAGAGCAGGCUCCUGCACACAGACAGCUCCCUCGGGCCCCCUUCUCCCGUGGCGGCCCCGCGACGACCCUGCGAGGACCCGGGUCCCGCUUCCUAGAGCAGAGGGCCUUCCCCAGCUGUGCCGAGGUGGGAUCACGGGCACGCAGCCUUCUGUGUCCGCCUCCCGUCAGUCGGGGUGAUGCCUCUGGGUCUCACCUGUGUUUUCAUACGACCCAGCAGUUUCUGAUAACGGUUCCAUCACGUGAACACAGCACGAUUUGCUUCUCCAGACUCUUGGUGAUGCAUUUUGUAAGUUUUUGGCUAAUAUUACAAACAAAACUUGUGUGAA
rnacentral:lncRNA from 10 species